GAUGAACGCUGGCGGCGUGCUUAACACAUGCAAGUCGAACGGACAGGCCCUGCUUUUGUGGGGUGCUCGAGUGGCGAACGGGUGAGUAACACGUGAGUAACCUGCCCUUGACUUUGUGAUAACUCCAGGAAACUGGGGCUAAUACCGGAUAUGAGCUCCUGCUCCACGGUGGGGGUUGGAAAGUUUCGGCGGUUGGGGAUGGAAUCGCGGCUUAUCAGCUGGUUGGUGGGGUAGUGGCUUACGAAGGCUUUGAAGGGUAGCCGGCCUGAGAGGGUGGACGGCCACAAUGCGACUGAGAGACGGACCAGACUGGUACGGGCGGCAGUGGUCGGGAAUAUUGCACAAUGGGCGGAAGCCUGAUGCAGCGACGCCGCGUGCGGAAUGCCCGCCUACUGGUGGUAAACCGCUUUCUCCUUUGACGUAGCGUUAGUGACGGUACUGGGUAAAGAAGCACCGGCUAACUACGUG
rnacentral:rRNA from 1 species